CACUCUUGUAGGUUUUCCCAAAAAUUGUUACCAAUCAGAAUCUCAGGUUAAAUAUUCUAACAUGAAAUGUGAACUUCAUGUUAAAAGUAAAUGAUUGUGAGUGGUAUAAGGGGUGGACUUUGGCGUUUGCAGUUUCUACUCCACUAAUGUUCCCUUGACCUAACAGUGCACCCAUCCCUAGUGUCUAUCCCCCAGCAACUGUGGUAACUGCUGAUAACUGAUUAUAACUUCGCCCUUCUCUUGAUAACUGCCCAGUGCCAGAUGGGAGCCACUACUUCCCGAGGAAUUUCAUCUGGGAUGUAACCCCUCUAUCUCCACCACUGCCAGGCUACAGUCAGCAGGCGAUGACGAACAGACACAGGCACAGAGAAAAGACCAUGUGAGGACACAGCAGGAAGGAGCCAUCUGCAAAUCUAGGAGUGAGGACUCACUAGAAACCAACCUUGCUCACACCCUAAUCUUGGACUUUUAGCCUCCAGAAUGGCUCGGAUGUCUAGCACAAUAUUGACUGCAGUGAUGAUACUGGGCAUCAUUGCCUUAUUCUUGAUUUUAAGGACAAUACUUUAAAAUAUUUAUCAAUGAUGUCAAAUAUUUUCUUGUUUGGAGCUCAUCCCUUUUUAUGAGGUCAGUGGUUCCAUUCUGUUUAUUAUUUAGUAGGAAUUUUUAAAAAUCAUAUUGAAAUUAUAUUUUGUCUAUAGAAAUCUUAUGGCUCUUUCCUUUUUACUCUGUGUAUGUAAUGAACUACCAUAAUACACCAUUUAUUAAAGUAAACAUGCAUUUCACGAUAAACGCAACUUGAUAAAUUGCUAAAUUUGAUUUACUAACAUUUAAAUUAAAAGUUUUUAGCCUCUAGUUUAACAAUGUAUUUGCCUACAAUUUCCCUUCUUUUUAAUAAAUAAAUAUACUGGGAGGAUUGGAAUUAUCUG
rnacentral:lncRNA from 13 species